rnacentral:rRNA from 1 species
ACAUGAAGCUGGAAUCGCUAGUAAUCGCGAAUCAGAAUGUCGCGGUGAAUACGUUCCCGGGUCUUGUACACACCGCCCGUCACACCAUGGGAGUCGGAAAUGCCCGAAGUCAGUGACCUAACCGAAAGGGAGGAGCUGCCGAAGGUGGAGCCGGUAACUGGGGCGAAGUCGUAACAAGGUAUC